rnacentral:rRNA from 1 species
GUAGGUGGCAAGCGUUGUCCGGGAAUUAUUGGGGCGUAAAGCGCGCGCAGGCGGUCCUUUAAGUCUGAUGUGAAAGCCCACGGGCUCAACCGUGGAGGGUCAUUGGAAACUGGGGGACUUGAGUGCAGAAGAGAAGAGUGGAAUUCCACGUGUAGCGGUGAAAUGCGUAGAGAUGUGGAGGAACACCAGUGGCGAAGGCGACUCUUUGGUCUGUAACUGACGCUGAGGCGCGAAAGCGUGGGGAGCAAACAGGAUUAGAUACCCUGGUAGUCCACGCCGUAAACGAUGAGUGCUAAGUGUUAGAGGGUUUCCGCCCUUUAGUGCUGCAGCAAACGCAUUAAGCACUCCGCCUGGGGAGUACGGCCGCAAGGCCG